rnacentral:lncRNA from 1 species
GUGAGGGGCUGACCAGGGACAGUGCCCGUGGAAAUGAGACGACCAACGUCCUUUAGAAUCUGUUUGGUUUCCGGCUCAGAAAGAGAAACAAAGAAAAGAAAGCUGUCAUGGAGAGCCCAUCCAUUUUCUCCUGUUUCGUCAUUUAGUCACAUGAUGCCUUCAAGGUCAUUCAGAUGUCAUGGCAACCCAUCAUGUCAAGGCUCCACUGAAGUGCACCUGAUGUAGUGAAUGCCGCCAGCGUCAACUAAAAGUAUCGCCGUCACUGCCUUCCGAAGAUAUUUCUAAUGCCUUUGAGAGAUCCAUGGCGCUGCCUUGAUGUCAUCUUGGCAUUUUCCCUUCCAGAUGCAGAUGUUGCUUAUCCACUGCUCCACUCACUGAAUCCAUUCUGUUUUCUUUUGGGGUUUGUCUUCAUUGCUUCUCUGUAGGACCCAGAUGUAAGUCCUUAGUUAUAGGACACAGGGAUGGGGAGCAGAACACGACUAGGCUCAGAAGCACUUCUUAGCACUGGUUUGUUCUGGGUCUUUUCUUAUACGUCUCAGCUCUCCCUUACCUUAUGCAUUCCAUCCUAGGAGGUACUUGGACCCCUCCAUGUGAAACUUGUCACACUGCUGGUCAUGCUAAGACAUGUCUAAAUCUCAGCAUGGAGUUUGAGCCCUCAAGGUGAAGUCCUUCCAGCUGCCUAGAUAUUCUUUCCUUUGGUGAAAUAUUAAUGAGUGUAUCACUAAGGUAAUUGAGUCAUUGUCUUCCUAACCAAUAAAAAUUCCAGCUUGG